CAACAAGUUAAUAAAUCUAUAUAACGUCGUAAUAUGGUCGACAGUUUCUACCCAUUACCACAAAUAAUGGACUAUAGGUAAUUAAGAGU
rnacentral:ncRNA from 1 species